rnacentral:tRNA from 1 species
UGCCUCAUGGUGUAAUGGUAACACAGCAGAUUCUGAAUCUGUCAUUCAAGGUUCGAGUCCUUGUGAGGCAACCA